UACACGUUUUGGUACAUUACUGUCCUUUAACAAUUGGUUUUAAUGCUAGCUACAUUACAGCACAAUUAACAAUGCAGUCAGUAAAUUGUCCUAUUGGAAUUUCUUGCAGAUAGAGAAGUGUCCAGCACAGCUCAAACAACAGACGUCAAUUUUUGGGGGUCGUCAGAGCUGUGUGUGCGGGUACCACUGUGUAAAGACCACUAGUGAACAUACAUCUACUGUGCCAUGCACAUCAAGACAACCUGUGUGUUCCAGCCCCUCUUUACCCACACUCACAGUUUCCCAGCGACAAAUAUUUAAACCAUCUCGUUUUGGUGGAAAGCAUGUCGCUGCAGCAAAACCAGUGCUUAGUCAGGCCAGGCCUCCAACUAAGGUAUGGUUUAGUGCAUGGGCCACCACUCCGAUCUGUAAAGGGCCAGUCAGGGUGUAUGUUUUUAUUUCAACCAAGCAAUGACAUGUCCUAUAUAACCAACUGUUUAAAGGCUGAGACUAGCCGAUUAAGCAAGU